GUUGGAAGGGUCUAAAAAGAUUUAGAGAGCUUAACAGGAGAUAGAAAGAGGUCCAAUGAAUAACACAGGCACAUACGAAAACUGUAUAUUACACUGUAUUCUUGUAUCAAGAUAAAAGAGAAAAAACAUGGAGUAAACAAUUAAUAUUACAUAUAAACUUUUCUAUCUUUCUUCUACACAAAGUUUCAUUUGAAAUCUCAAUGAGAUUUGUCAUUCUGAAACUCGAAAAAGGAUCAGUAGAAAGAAGAACACGGAAUAGCAUAGCAUCCCACCAUAAAAGUUGCCAAAGUUGAGGAAGAAACUUCACUGUAUCUUCCAUCUCCUCCUUCAGAGUUAUAACUCCAUAUUAGGUAUGCCAGCCAACAAACUGCAUACACUAGAGUGAUUCAAAAGUCAGAACCCUUUAGAUCCGAUAACCCAAGCUCAAACCAUGGUUUCCCAAACCCCAAAACACUUUUUCAUGCUAAUUUGAGAGCCUUUCUUUCUCAUACACCACAACCCAAACCCCGAGCCUCUGAUCCUUUCAUGAUCCUCAGCCUUUUGCAAGAAGUCACAAACAUGCUGCACAAAAGUACGGUUCUGUCAGAUUUAGUUCAACUCAUACAAACCUAACGAUGAGACAGACAAAAGCAUAUCAGAGAUGUAACACUUACUCCCAUGGAACAUCUCCAACUAACAUCCAGUCACCGUCCUUGUCUUCAUAAGUUGGUGCAUAGUCAGAUCCCUUGUAACCUUCUUUUUCAGAGUACUCACCUGAAAACCCAUAACACGACCCAGGUCAUUUCCACAAUAUCAUCUCAUCUCAAUAAAAACAGACAAAACUAAAACUCUUCUCACCUAUGGUCAACUUGAACAUGUUUUCUAGAGCUUUGAGAAGUUGUGUGUAGCCUCCAUACACCUUCAGGUCAAUCUUCCUUAGGUAAGGAGCUCCAUCCAUGCUUACUUUCACAUAAAUCCCAGCACCCUCGUUCUCGUGAAGGCUGUUUUUCCUAUAGGAUCUGAUUGGUGGCCACCCCACUAUCUUUGCCCUGUCAUACAUGUCAACACCUUCAAUCAGUCACUCAUCAACACAAAAAAGGCCUUUGAGUUUUAAUUAGUAAUGAUAAUAAUAAUGAAACUUACUUGGCUGGAGGGGCUGCCUCAGCUUCCACAUUUUUUUGAGCAUUAGAAACAGUCUCCUCAGAAGUUUCAGUCAAUGGCCUUUUGUUGGUAAUUCUAGCAGACGGAGGCAGUGUUUUUUCCUGAGUUUCUUCUGUUCCUGGGAGCCCCAAUCUAAGCUCAGUUGCCU
rnacentral:sRNA from 1 species